rnacentral:rRNA from 1 species
GACGAACGCUGGCGGCGUGCUUAACACAUGCAAGUCGAACGGAAAGGCCCCUGCUUGCAGGGGUGCUCGAGUGGCGAACGGGUGAGUAACACGUGGGUGAUCUGCCCUUCACUUCGGGAUAAGCCUGGGAAACUGGGUCUAAUACCGGAUAGGACCAAUCUUUAGUGUGGUUGGUGGAAAGUUUUUUCGGUGGAGGAUGAGCCCGCGGCCUAUCAGCUUGUUGGUGGGGUAAUGGCCUACCAAGGCGACGACGGGUAGCCGGCCUGAGAGGGUGGACGGCCACAUUGGGACUGAGACACGGCCCAG